AUGAAGCCCCUCAGCUUUGAAGAUUCGAGAAGGUUAUUCACGAGCAGAGUAUUUGGGUCUGAAAACAAGUGUCCAUCUAAUUUUGAGGAAGUUUCAAAUGAAAUUCUGAAGAAGUGUGGCGGAUUGCCACUUGCAAUCAUUACUAUAGCUAGCCUAUUGGCUUCCCGUCGUGAAAGAUCAAAGAAUGAUUGGGAGAACAUACGGAAUUCUCUAGGUUCCCAGUUUGCCAUAAACCCCACUCUGAAAGGGAUGAGGAAUAUAUUAAACCUCAGCUAUAUGAAUCUUCCUCUUCAUCUCCGCACUUGUUUCCUUUACCUUGGUAUGUAUCCAGAAGACUAUGAGAUUAUGAGGGAUGAUCUAGUCCGAAAAUGGAUAGCCGAAGGCUUUGUUAGUAAUUCACAUGGAACAAAUUUGGAGGAUGUUGGGAUAAGUUAUUUCAAUGAGCUAGUCAAUAGAAGUCUGAUUCAGCCUGCAAGGGACAGAAUCGGGCAAGUAUGUUACAGAGUACAUGAUAUGAUGCUGGAUUUGAUCUUAAGCAAGUGUGCAGAAGACAAUUUUAAUAGUCUGGCAUAUAGUUCUGAAGACAUGACAAGACUGCAUGGUUGCACAUACAAGAUCCGUCGGUUAUCCCUGGUCUCACAGGUUGAUAGGAUAACAAAGAAAACAAUAUCAUGGAGAGCUUCAGAUAGCAUAUCACAAGUUCGGUCAUUGGUGUGGUUCGGAGAUUGCAAGUCCAUACCUCGUCUUUCUCAGUUAAAGUAUAUCCGUGUGUUAUCCUUUGAAUGUCCAAAUUCAUUUGGGGAUUCACAUUUGGACCUCACUGCUAUCAGCCAAUUGUUUCAACUGAGGUAUUUAAAGGUUUCAGAGCAUUGGUGUGCAAAGCUUCCCACUGAAAUUCGGGGGCUUGUGCAUUUGGAUACGCUGGCUGUAGGAUAUGGAAGCAUCCCAUCAGACAUAGAGCACUUGCCCUGCUUGUCUAAUCUGAAAUUGGGUUGGUAUGCGAUGAUAGCGUUACCUGAAAGGAUCGGGAACAUGGAAUCACUUCACACACUCCAUGGUUUCGGACUGGAGAUGAGUUCGCUGGAGGCCCUUGAGGGCCUUGGUAAGCUGACUAAUCUGAGGAGUCUGAAGCUUUGUAACCUUGGUGAUGAUGAGUGCAAUCUGCUGGAGAAGGCAGUGAAGUUUGAUGCUUUGGUCUCUUCUAUUUGUAAGCUACGCAACCUUAGAUAUCUCCUGGUGGUAGGCGAUCAUGAUGAUAAGGACGAAAUUUUAGGCUCAGUUUCUGAUCCUCCUGCCCUUAUCGAGGAAAUGUACCUUAGCGGUUGGAAGAUCUUGGGAGUUCCUAAAUGGAUUGGUGAUCUCAAUUGCCUGCAUAGCCUGGAAUUAUCUGUUAGGGAGACGAAAAAUGAUGGGAUUACUAUUCUUGGAGGACUGCCAUCCCUCGUCUACCUCUACCUUAUAGUUGCGACAUGCCCUAAAGAAGAGGCUGUAAUCGUCAGCAAGGGAUUAUUCCCUGUUCUGGAGCGCCUUACAUUCCUCUCUGAAGAAGAUGUUACAACAUAUCUGGGUUUCGAGGCAGGAGCUAUGUCCAAGCUACGAGAGCUCAGUCUGGAACUCAGAGUGCCGCAGUGGGGUGGAGCUGCACCAGCCGGCAUGGAGCACCUCUCAGGCCUCCAGCAAAUCAGUGUAACUCUACUCGGUAAGCCUCUUGAACAAGUGGAGCUCGAAGUCGGGUCUGCGUUUACCCCAUCUUUUCGUCUUCGCUCCUCCGUCUCCGCCCCUUUCCUUCUUUCACUCCAAUGGGUACGCCCGGUGAGUAGAUGGAAUAGGUGGUUGGAUCCCUUCAUCUGUAUAUAG
rnacentral:rRNA from 1 species